AGUAUAAAAGACAGAAAACCCGGCGAAUUUUCUCAUUUGAUUUUUUGGGAGGAAGAAGAUGGACUACAAUCUGGCAGCACUGAAAGUGUUUUGCUCACAGCUAAACAACGCCAAAGCAACCACAACACAACAAUCACAGGCAGCAUUCACUCUCUCCGGCAUUCUCUUUCAACGUGUCUGGCUACAGGGUAUUCUGGUUUCAACACCUACUACUGACUCCUCCGGCCGAUUCCUCCUCGACGAUGGCACAGGGGUCAUUGAACUCCAACUUCUCGGCGACUUCCUCACACUUUCUUGGGUGAAAGGUUAGUAAUUGUUAAGGAAAAUUACACGUGCCUCCCAUGAGAUUUCAAAUAUUACACAAACAAACCCCUUCCUUCAAUUUUUGUGUGUUAGAUAUAUAUUGUUUAAAUCAUUUGAUCUGCUAGUGCAAAGAUUUACUGGGAAUAGUUUGAUUUAUUUUUUUCAAGUAUCAAAACUAUUGGUAACUCUAUUUAAUCUUUUCAUGUUGCUUUUUACUCCUUAAAAUGAUAUCCUGUUUGAUUUUAAGCUUCUCUGUCCCUCAUUAUUUUUGUAGAUACAUUAGUUAUUCUCUACCUUUGACUUUUGCUUUCAUAAAUUUGGAGUUAUUAAGAAAAGUUGAAUGUGUCGAUGAAAGGGUUAGAUUCUUGAUCUAAUAUAAUUAAGUUAAUUUAUAAACGGCUAAUCAGACUACUUAUAAACUGUCAAAGGUCUGUGUAAUAUUUGGAAUCAUGGUAACUUUAUGAUACAGGUUGAGAUCUCAAGGGAUUAUGUCUAAUCACUCCUUUAUUAUUAUGUUCCUAGUAUUUUUACAGUUGUUCUCUACUAAUAAAUCUGUACUUGUGCUUGCCUUAAUUUUGAACAGGGAUGUAUGUUAUGGUUGUUGGACUGUAUUUUGUCCAAAAAGGCAGCCUCCCUUUAGUUAAGGUAAAAAAGGAUAACCUUUCCCUCUAAUGACUUCCCACUUCAUUCAUGUUAAAUUAGGAUUGUUCUUGUGUUAACUUGCUUUAGUGUGGUUAAACAUUUUGGUUUGAGCUUAUUCGGAGUGUUGCGUCAAUGAUUAAAUUCGUAAAUCUGUUAAUGACAAUGUUGUUUUUGAGGGUGAUUGCCCAGCUAACAGUAAAAUAAUUUCAUGCGUUCUAAAUUCAUCUCCAAUCUACGACGAACAAUGUUCCGCAUUUGGUGAAAUGCUACUGAGUCCGCGAGUUCUUAAUCCUGAUCUCUAAGACUGAAUUCUUAUUAGUUUAGUACAAUAUCAAGGUUUACUUUUACUCUCAACCUUAGCAAUCAAGGUGUCUUGCAUAGCAUGGAUAGGAACCUAUAAAAGCAAUGGUUGUGAAGCACAACUGCACAAGUAAAUCUAGUCUCUAAAGACAAAAAGGCAAAUGGAGGGGUUGCUUUUGAGGGAGGGGGAACAAGAAAUAUGUAACUAUUACUCCACUCCAUCUGUCAGUGUUCUUCUUCAAUUGAAUAAGAGACUCAUUAAUGAUUAGAAAAUCUGGAAGAGGUUCUGAUGAGAAGAGUUGCAACUAGUUAAGACCUAGCUUUUGUAACUAUUUUAUGCUGUUUGAACCAAUGUCACAUAGUGAAAAGUUGAAGUCAACCAUAUCGGCAUUGUGGGAAUCAUUCAUCAUAUCAAAAUCGUAUGAACUGCACUUUGGAAUUGGUCAAUCAAAUCUUUACCUUCCAUUAACUGCAAAGAGUAGCUUAGUUUUUGAAUCAUGUUGCAACUUUUAUGCAUUAGUCCAAGCUCUAUAGCAGAAAGCUGAAACGGCUUACUAUGUUUGUUGCAUUAAGCUCAUAGUAUCGGCUGGUGGGCUAGCCCUUUUGAAAGCUUAGUAGCUGCAAGACCUGUCAAGUUCCCACUUUAUUGUGCCAAUGUAGCGCACUCGGUAGCAUCCCUAUCUUCCUAGGCUUUUCUCUGAGCUGUUCAAGCCAUUCAGGGUUAAAACAGAAUGACUUGCAUCGUGUUUCUUCCUAGUGUCAUUUAGCAGAUUAUGAUAUAUAUUCCUUUUCAGCAUAUUCAUCAUUGGGAUAUUCUAUGUUGUUGUAGUGGAGGACCUGUGGAUUUGUUCACCUGUAUAAGACAGACGUACUAUGAAUAGACUUCCAUCUCAGAGAUCCACAAGCUACCUGGCUCCAAUACCAUCAAGCAAUGCUGUAGAGUGCCCAUGCUAUUGAUGCCCAUAAUACUGUGUACAUUUAUGCUAAUGCUGUUGGAACUCCAAAUGCCAAAUUAAUGAAAAACCUAGUACUCAUGCUUCGAGGUUACUGAUUCUCUAUCCAAUUUAGUGGUGGGACUUGAGAGUGUGGACGGAAUUGUCUGGUUGUUACUCAUGGAAUAAUAUUAAUAUCGCAAGAGAAAUGAAUGGUGACCGGAGAAAAUAGUGGUAGAAAUUUGUCUCCGGAAAUGGAGGAGGGGCUUCAGAGGAUAGAAGAAAUUGUCUCUGUUACUCAUGGAGUAGUAUAAAUAUGCAAAGGAAUGAAUGGGUGACUGGAGAAAAUAGUGGUAGGAAAUUCGUCUUUGUAAUUAAACCAUCUCUUCCACCCUACUCUUGCUUCUACUAACCUUUAACACUAAUCCGUGCUCCACACCUCCGAUCCAAGGUCAUGUCUUUAAUAAGCUGGAAUUGCAGCAUGUCUUGUCUAAUCACUUCUGCCCAAUACUUCUUCCGUCUACGUCUACCACUCCUGAAACCAUUCCUAGCCAACCUCCGUACUGGGGCAUCUGUGCAUGUCCGCUUGACAUGUCUGAACCAUCCUAGCCUUGUUUCUUGCAUCUUGUCGUCCACCUUGUCCCGGAUAUACUCAUUUCUGUUCUAUAUCUCCUAGUAUACGCACACAUCCACUGCGCUGAAGUAAUAACUAGAGUGAUUUUGGAAGAGAGUAAAGGUAGUUUGAGUUUAUGUGAUUGUUGGUCUAGCAGUAUAGAUCAAUUUUAGAAUCAUUGUUUUGCAUUAAACAUGAGCUUGCACUUGGGUGAAACAGUAGUCAUCUUUGUUAUUAUUGAUAGAACAGAAGCUAAAGCAUUUCCAGACCAUUUCAAUUCAGCUGUUUUGAACUAUCAAUAUUCAUACCAAACAGUCCAGUGUGGCAGUGUAUUGAAGAAGCAUUCAUGCUGUAAUCUGAUAGCAGGCCAUAUUUUCUGUACCCAUUCCUUCACUGAGGUAGAAUGUGUGCAGUCUACGAACUAGAUCACCAAAUUAACCUAUCAGACAAGAAGUAAAAUUGCUUACUCAGCAUAAAGAAGUGUACAACAGGAAAAUAUGUUUUAGAUGGGGGACGAGAGAGUUUUCGUGGAAGAUUGUACUCCUUGUGUCUCCUUAAUCUUAUCAGAAUGUAGGUACUUCCACACCGUUCUGCACCAAGCAAGAGCAGACAAUGACCAAUAGCUGAGCUCGGUGCUUUCUUGCUGAUUUUAAACCUCGCGAAAAAAUUGAAAACAAUUUGUAUUAUUACUCGAAAAUCUGCAGAGCAAGUAUAUUUUAAGUCAGCGUGUAUUAACAUAGCC
rnacentral:lncRNA from 1 species